rnacentral:sRNA from 1 species
UGUAUGAGUUUGAUGGGCUUUCUCCACCAAAUGAUCCUUUCCCAUCUGUGAUUUUCUCUCCUGUAGACUGAUUAAAUACUUCUUAAUAUCUGCAGUAACAAGCACAGUGUAUGCAGUAUAUGCUAUUCUUUCAGGGCAGGCCUAGUAAUCAGCGGGACUGUUCAGUUCUUAGGGCGGCCACAGUUUUGCCUGCCAUUGUAGUUCUUUAUACUUCUCUUGGUUUUUACUUUGUGUAUAUUUUCGUUUAAGCGUUAAAUGAGAUGGAAGACAUCGUCCAAGAAGAUGGAGAGGUGGUGGCCGAGAGUGGAAAUAAUACUCCAGCUCACAGCCAGGCAAUUAUUCCUGUGGAUGUUGAUGAGGAACAAGCAGGACCCAGUGGUCUUCAGCGUGUAGUAAAACCAACCCCAAUUACUGUUCAUGAUUCAGAGAGUGAUGAUGAAGAAGAUAGUCUAGAACUCCAAGAAGUCUGGAUUCCUAAGAAUGGUACUCGGCGUUACCCUGAACGUGAAGAAAAAACUGGAGAGUCAGUGCAGUCCAGAGAAUUGUCAGUAAGUGGAAAAGGCAAGACUCCACUUCGAAAGAGGUACAACUCCCAUCAGAUGGGCCA